rnacentral:tRNA from 1 species
GCUAGCGUAGCUUAAUUUAAAGCAUAACACUGAAGAUGUUAAGAAGAGCCCUAGAAAGCUCCGCGUGCA